CAGCCUUUUGGCUGCCUAACAGGUGUACAUUUCAAGAUAACUUCAUUCUGUUGCCUCAAAAUUCUUCAGUUGGAAAAACAUAUUGUUGAAACUUACAUGUUCUGUGAAGAAUGGACAAGAUAUAAUGGCUACAGUGCAAAAAUACUUCAAGAAAUGUUGGAGAGGCCAUUUCCCCAAAGGAAGCAGCAUCUAUUUUAAGACACUUCCAUAUUCAGCCAUUUUAAGUUUGUAGGAGAAAACGAAUUUUUCUUCAUCUAUUGUCCAGGUCUAUAGACAGGACCUACUUUUGGACCAAUAACAAAUAAAGUAAGCAAAGUUUUCUUCCCCUUUACUUUAUUUUAAUAUCUUAUCUGACUAUCACCUUGCCCUGGAGGCCCUUUCCACCAUAGUGU
rnacentral:lncRNA from 1 species